rnacentral:rRNA from 1 species
AGAGUUUUGAUCAUGGCUCAGAUUGAACGCUGGCGGCAGGCCUAACACAUGCAAGUCGAACGGUAACAGGAAGCAGCUUGCUGCUUUGCUGACGAGUGGCGGACGGGUGAGUAAUGUCUGGGAAACUGCCUGAUGGAGGGGGAUAACUACUGGAAACGGUGGCUAAUACCGCAUAACGUCGCAAGACCAAAGAGGGGGACCUUCGGGCCUCUUGCCAUCAGAUGUGCCCAGAUGGGAUUAGCUUGUUGGUGAGGUAAUGGCUCACCAAGGCGACGAUCCCUAGCUGGUCUGAGAGGAUGACCAGCCACACUGGAACUGAGACACGGUCCAGACUCCUACGGGAGGCAGCAGUGGGGAAUAUUGCACAAUGGGCGCAAGCCUGAUGCAGCCAUGCCGCGUGUAUGAAGAAGGCCUUCGGGUUGUAAAGUACUUUCAGCGGGGAGGAAGGUGUUGUGGUUAAUAACCACAGCAAUUGACGUUACCCGCAGAAGAAGCACCGGCUAACUCCGUGCCAGCAGCCGCGGUAAUACGGAGGGUGCGAGCGUUAAUCGGAAUUACUGGGCGUAAAGCGCACGCAGGCGGUCUGUCAAGUCGGAUGUGAAAUCCCCGGGCUCAACCUGGGAACUGCAUUCGAAACUGGCAGGCUUGAGUCUUGUAGAGGGGGGUGGAAUUCCAGGUGUAGCGGUGAAAUGCGUAGAGAUCUGGAGGAAUACCGGUGGCGAAGGCGGCCCCCUGGACAAAGACUGACGCUCAGGUGCGAAAGCGUGGGGAGCAAACAGGAUUAGAUACCCUGGUAGUCCACGCCGUAAACGAUGUCUACUUGGAGGUUGUGCCCUUGAGGCGUGGCUUCCGGAGCUAACGCGUUAAGUAGACCGCCUGGGGAGUACGGCCGCAAGGUUAAAACUCAAAUGAAUUGACGGGGGCCCGCACAAGCGGUGGAGCAUGUGGUUUAAUUCGAUGCAACGCGAAGAACCUUACCUGGUCUUGACAUCCACGGAAGUUUUCAGAGAUGAGAAUGUGCCUUCGGGAACCGUGAGACAGGUGCUGCAUGGCUGUCGUCAGCUCGUGUUGUGAAAUGUUGGGUUAAGUCCCGCAACGAGCGCAACCCUUAUCCUUUGUUGCCAGCGAUUAGGUCGGGAACUCAAAGGAGACUGCCAGUGAUAAACUGGAGGAAGGUGGGGAUGACGUCAAGUCAUCAUGGCCCUUACGACCAGGGCUACACACGUGCUACAAUGGCGCAUACAAAGAGAAGCGACCUCGCGAGAGCAAGCGGACCUCAUAAAGUGCGUCGUAGUCCGGAUUGGAGUCUGCAACUCGACUCCAUGAAGUCGGAAUCGCUAGUAAUCGUGGAUCAGAAUGCCACGGUGAAUACGUUCCCGGGCCUUGUACACACCGCCCGUCACACCAUGGGAGUGGGUUGCAAAAGAAGUAGGUAGCUUAACCUUCGGGAGGGCGCUUACCACUUUGUGAUUCAUGACUGGGGUGAAGUCGUAACAAGGUAACCGUAGGGGAACCUGCGGUUGGAUCACCU